rnacentral:rRNA from 1 species
GCAGUCGAACGGCAGCACGGGGGCAACCCUGGUGGCGAGUGGCGAACGGGUGAGUAAUACAUCGGAACGUGUCCUGGAGUGGGGGAUAGCCCGGCGAAAGCCGGAUUAAUACCGCAUACGCUCUAAGGAGGAAAGGGGGGGAUCUGACCUCUCGCUCGDGGGGCGGCCGAUGGCGGAUUAGCUAGUUGGUGGGGUAAAGGCCUACCAAGGCGACGAUCUGUAGCUGGUCUGAGAGGACGACCAGCCACACUGGGACUGAGACACGGCCCAGACUCCUACGGGAGGCAGCAGUGGGGAAUUUUGGACAAUGGGCGCAAGCCUGAUCCAGCAAUGCCGCGUGUGUGAAGAAGGCCUUCGGGUUGUAAAGCACUUUUGUCCGGAAAGAAAACCCCUGCCCUAAUACGGCGGGGGAUGACGGUACCGGAAGAAUAAGCACCGGCUAACUACGUGCCAGCAGCCGCGGUAAUACGUAGGGUGCAAGCGUUAAUCGGAAUUACUGGGCGUAGCGUGCGCAGGCGGUUCGUUAAGACAGAUGUGAAAUCCGGGCUUAACUGGGAACUGCUUUGUGACUGG